rnacentral:rRNA from 1 species
GACGAACCGUGCAAACGUUGUUCGGAAUCACUGGGCUUAAAGGGCGCGUAGGCGGGCAAGCAAGUCCGGGGUGAAAUCUUUCGGCUUAACCGGAAAAGUGCCUUGGAUACUGCUUGUCUUGAGGGAGGUAGGGGCAUGCGGAACUUCUGGUGGAGCGGUGAAAUGCGUUGAUAUCAGAAGGAACGCCGGUGGCGAAAGCGGCGUGCUGGACCUCUUCUGACGCUGAUGCGCGAAAGCUAGGGGAGCAAACAGG